rnacentral:lncRNA from 1 species
GUUGUACACACAGACCUUGGCAGUGUGGAGGGAGAGAGCCUGGUUUUUCCGCCCAGCCCUGGGCAACCUUCUGGUGUCCCAGGAUAGAAAAAAGACUCACAUUUCUUUGCACCACUGAGCCCAUCACUGCAGCACCAGAGCAUUUGACAUCUGCAAAACAACAUCAUUAGGUAGGUGUUAACUUUUCCCCACUGGUAGGCCUGGUGCUCGUAAAUGUACUGUGACGAGUGUAAUGUGUUUAUGAGAAUGCGCAUAAUAAAUUAUCAGAAAUAGGCUGCAUUUUUAAUAUCACUUAAUAUAUCAAGUUGGCCUCUAAGCAGCCACACACUAUAUUGCAAAUGCUGAGCUGACUUGCUGGCAUCAGCGCUCCAUCAUGCUCUUCAUGCCGAGGCCAUAGCGUAUGCCAAGAAGGAGGCAGGGGACCCCCAGAGUGGUGGUUCCUACCUCCCUUCCUAACUUCCCCUCCAUCAUCUGGAAUCUAAGGAAAAAUGGGCUUCAUUUAUCACUGGGCCCCCUACAGAUCACAGCGGGGGGCCUGUUACAGGGCAGGUGCACAAUAAAUAUUUGUUGAAAUGUGGCUUCAUGAAU